AACGCGAAGAACCUUACCCAGGCUUGACAUCCAGGGGAAGUAUGCAGAGAUGUAUACGCCGGGGCAACCCGGCCGCUGGACAGGUGCUGCAUGGCUGUCGUCAGCUCGUGCCGUGAGGUGUUAGGUUAAGUCCUGCAACGAGCGCAACCCUCAUUUUUAGUUGCCAGCGGGUAAUGCCGGGCACUCUAGAGAAACUGCCGCUUUUAAGGCGGAGGAAGGUGGGGAUGACGUCAAGUCAGCAUGGCCCUUACGUCUGGGGCUACACACGUGCUACAAUGGAGGGUACAGAGGGAUGCCAAAGAGCGAUCUGGAGCGAACCCCACAAAAACCCUCCUCAGUUCGGAUUGCAGGCUGCAAUUUGCCUGCAUGAAGGCGGAAUCGCUAGUAACCGCAGAUCAGCAUUGCUGCGGUGAAUACGUUCCCGGGCCUUGUACACACCGAUACUC
rnacentral:rRNA from 1 species